rnacentral:lncRNA from 1 species
CACUUGUAUGUAUAUGCAAGUGUGUGAGGAUUUAAGCAUGCUGUAUCUACCUGUGGAGUCUCUGCCAUCUUGAUUACGUCGUCAUUUUUGCUUUUAUGUUCUUCGAUAAAUUUUAGUUAAUAUGAUGAUUGAAAAUUUUGAUUAAUGAAGAAGAUUAAUGUAUUGUACGAAGAAAGAGAGGAAUUAAUUAUUUGGAAUAAUAUUUCUUUAUUUUUUUAUUAUUAUAUUAUGCUAAUCAAGUCACUUAUAAAUAGUCACCGUGGGAUGGCAUGGAGAGUCUUCUCUUGUUUGUUGUUAGAUAUUGUGGCCAGGUGUCGUCGAAGGAUUGUGUUGUACGUUUCAUCUGUUGUCUGGUGGUUGGUCUACGUGGACUUUGUCAUUUUGUGGGAAAGUGUUUACUUAUAGUAGUGACUUUUAAGAAAAAGGCCUGGUUUACAAAUAGAGAGAAAGAGAGAAGAAUAGUGUAUUUAAUUAUAGUUCUUAUUAAUUAAUUACUAAUUGUAAAAUUAUAUUGUGUUGAAUAAACCGAAGUAUUUGAUUCAAUGAAAUAUUUUAUUGAGAUUAUCAACACGACCCUGCAGUCUAUGGAUUCUCGUGAGUUUAGUGUCCAGGUAAAUUUCCGUACAACAAGAAAGGCAGAGUUUGAGGGGGCAUGGAGCUUCAACUUUCGCAAAGCUAGUGACUUUGCAAGUAACAACUUUGAAUUGGAAAAUUUUUAGUAAUGAUUUUUGGCUGUCAUAAGUGCGAAUUAUCGUAAGUCGAGAACUAUAUAAAAUUAGACCUACCCUAAAUUACCUAUAAUUCUUAUGAAAAAAAUGCAUAAUUUUAUUUCAAAAAACAAAUAUAAUCAAAAAGAUAAAUGAC